GCUGUAGCUUAGUGGUAGAACAUACACCUUACAGGCAGACGGUCCUGGGUUCAAUUCCCGGCAAAUCCA